ensembl:lncRNA
AGUGUGAGUCUGUGGACGCUGACACUCUGGCCAGAAUUACAAGAAUUUUUCACCAGAGUUAUGAAAUAGGGCAGUAAGCAGUAGCCAUCAAUGUCCCAGAGAAUCAGUGUAAGAAAGGUUUCAAACCAUCAACAUCCCCCAACUUCCUGAAAGAAGACAAAAACGUAGAUGUGAAAAAUAUAAGUGCUGAUGAAAAACCAGUUUACGAAGGCAAAGAACUCAUUGCUGCAGGUGUACAGAGGACACCAAACACUGCUCAUUCAGAGUUUCUACUGAUGAAUCCUCCAAAUAAUUCACCCUUGACAAGAUUGUUGAAUAAGAGAAAGAAUGGUUGUGUGGUUUUCUACACUUUAAACUCUCCCUGUAUGAA